rnacentral:rRNA from 1 species
AUUGAACGCUGGCGGCCUGCCUUACACAUGCAAGUCGAACGGCAGCACGGGUGCUUGCACCUGGUGGCGAGUGGCGAACGGGUGAGUAAUACAUCGGAACGUACCUUAUCGUGGGGGAUAACGCAGCGAAAGUUGCGCUAAUACCGCAUACGCCCUGAGGGGGAAAGCGGGGGACCGUAAGGCCUCGCGCGAUUAGAGCGGCCGAUGUCUGAUUAGCUUGUUGGUGAGGUAAAAGCUCACCAAGGCGAUGAUCAGUAGCUGGUCUGAGAGGACGAUCAGCCACACUGGGACUGAGACACGGCCCAGACUCCUACGGGAGGCAGCAGUGGGGAAUUUUGGACAAUGGGGGCAACCCUGAUCCAGCAAUGCCGCGUGAGUGAAGAAGGCCUUCGGGUUGUAAAGCUCUUUUGUCAGGGAAGAAACAGCAGCUCUAACACAGUCUGCGAAUGACGGUACCUGAAGAAUAAGCACCGGCUAACUACGUG